GAUGUUGGCACAACUGGCGUGUGCAGAUGAGCAGCACGGGGCAUCCAGAGGUGCGCCUGCGAGCGGGGUGGCAGCAGCGGGCCUCAGCUGCUGGCCUUGUUCCAGAAGAGGCAGCUGCCGUAUCCUCUUCCCGCUCGUGUGUGGGAGCAGCAGCCAGUGCGGCUAUAACCUGAGCCCUGCCCUCGCCUAUGACACCCCGGUCAUUUCUCAGUCCGAGGCUGUGGACUCUUGGUGAUCCAGGCUGACUAGAAAAUGAGCACAUUCUGUAGUGACUGGGGCUGCUCAAGAAUCUAGAGAGAGAACGAGAACACCAUCCACAUGUCCCCAUCUCCAUGGCUGGAGAGGCUGUCCCUUUAAGGAAAACCUUUGAAGACAGAACCCAGGAACAUAAAUAAAUCUGCAUGGAGCUGCCUCACUCUCUAAAGAAGCCCACUGACUGUCAGCUUUGUGCUCAUGGUGAUACAGGACGACGACUUGCCUCCACCUCUGCUGAGUCUCUCACAUUCUCUGUGGGGCUGUUCAAUGUGACAGGCAACCUUUGUCCAGGGAGAAGCACCUAUCCGUAAAUGGUGGGUGAAGAGUUGCAUCUCUCUCUGCCUCUCCAGUACCUUGGUGGGAAAGUCUUAUCACGACCAGAAGCUGCCCAUUUUAAAGCUGGAGUCGAUGUCAUUUGGAUGGCAGAGGUCUCUACAUCUGCCUUGGCUGGAGGAAGGGAAGCAAACACCAUCUCUGGAAGGGACUUGGAGGCAUGGCGAGCUCACUAGGGCUGCCUAGCACUUCUGCUCACCACCAGCGGUUCCUGCGAUCUGAAGCUCUGACCGUGGGUGAGACUGUGGGCUCCUAAUCACCAGAGAAAGCCACCUAGGGUGAAGUGUUUGCUUUAGCCUUGGCAAGCACCAGAGCGCAGGGAGAGGAAAAUCAAGCAGAGAAUGCUGCUUUUUCCUUACCAAGUUGAGGAGACAGAUUUUGGAGCUGAAAUUUCCAGGAUAGAAUACCAGCAUGGAGAAAGGAUAUGAGAAGUCCCAGGGACAACACACAUGGGAUGAAUGAGAAGAACCUCUUACAUGCAUCCCAGGUGGAGACAGACAGUGUCCACAUCAUGCCCAGUCCACAUUUACUUGUUUUAUUUCUUCAAGACCUCAAGAGAAAAGUCCAAACACGAUAAUACCUUAGAAGAACCGAGGUGCUGACUUCCCACCUGAUACUGAUACCUGCAUUUAGUAAGUGAUGACUAUUGAGAGUGCCUAGUUGAUUUUCAGGUGCUGGGAUUAAAGGCGUGAGCUACCAUACUGGCCUUGGUUUAUUUUAACUUUGUUUGUGCAUAUGCGUGUGUGUGCAUGCAUGUGUGUUUGGUGGGGGAAAGUUGCAUGUAUAGCUCAGGUUUCUGUCGAGUCUAGAAGAGAGCAUUGGAUUUCCUGAAGUUGGAGGUACAGGAUGCUGUGAACUGCCCUGAGCAGGUUCUGGGAACUGAACUUGGGUCCUGCAAGAGCAGCAUGUGCUUGUAACUAUGGAGCCAUCUCCCCAGCCCCUCAAAGCUAGUUAGCAUUUUAUCCCAAGCAAUGAGUGGACUUACUUGAAAGUUACUAAGGAUAGCACUAGAGAGAGCCUUGGUCCUCUCUGCAAGGUCACAGUUCUUAGCCUGUGCACAAGCAUUUUCUCCUCUAGGACACUCGGGAGAAGUUAGACAGUGUCUGUUUUUUGUUGUUUUGGUUUGGUUUUUUGUUUGUUUGCUUCUGCUCACAGAAACGAGACAUUGUUUUCAGGGUAAGGGUAAAAAACACCGUCAAGAGACCCAGUCUGUCUGGAGCGCAGUCCUUGUGAGGAAGCCCACCUCCGCCAGGCAUCCUGCGUUAGAACCCACGCUUGCUGCCGCUGGUUUCCUUUGAAGCCUCCUUUUUGCCUCUGGAUUAAGAAGUCGCUCUCAUUACUGCUCAUCAGAGUCCUGCUGUUUCAGGAGCCAUUUGUGCUGAUGAAUAGCUGUCUUUUUCAACACACUGGGAGUGCGGCAUUUGGAGAAGGGCCUCUUCCAUCCAUUCCUACAGUCUUAACCAUCAUCCAUGUAUUCAUCCAUCAAUCAAUGCUAUUGAGGAUGGAUGAUGUGUCUGGUGCUGUGUGUCAUUUAAUACAGAUACGUAUAAUACUGACACAGUUCCAGCCCACAUAGGGCACAUAAAUCAUUAAGUUCUUAGGAGUUCAGUUCAACACACCUUUCACUAGCUGUAUAAUAGCAGCAUAAUGAUUAGCAAGACAGACAUCUCGGCUUAAGCAGAUAGACCGGUGGAGAAGCCUCAAGCGUUCUGUUGGCAGCAGAGAAGAAAAUGGGUUGUUAGGGGAAUACAGAUUGAGAGGUGCUAGGACACAGGGAAGGCUCUCUGAAGAUGAGGCUGCUUGAGAUGAAUCUCAAAGGAUGUGGAGAAGCGGGUUUGGAGUGACAGUGAGCACAAUGCCACCACAUAACCUUGUUCCUGUCCUCCCUCAUCAUUGGAACCCAGCCAAGACUCCUGGCCACAGCCUUGUCUGUGUUUGGCCAGUAAGUCACAAACAGAGAGUUUUUUUUAGGGAUUCCAGGAAGUUUGUGUUCAGAUAGGUGGUCCAGAAGGAGGAGGGUCAUGGGUGUUCAUGGAGGUCUUAUACUGUCCCUCAGCUUCUUAUGUCUAGCCCAGAGAAGCUUAUACUAUUUCUAACACCCUUAACUUCUGCUUUCUUUUUGGUAGUCAAAAUCCAACCACUCACUUGAAGGUAGCACAUCCGAUAAGAUAUGUGGGAAAAGAGAGCAGGUGGGAGGUCUUGGGAGAGAGAGAGAGAGAGAGAGAGAGAGAGAGAGAGAGAGAGAGAGAGAGAGAGAGAGAGAAAUUGUGAGGGGAUUCCGAUGAGCCAAAGCACGGAGCCAUAUCAGGUACGGUAGGCAGCACAGUGCUCUGGUGUUCCUAAGGACAGCAGGGCAGCCAAACCCUGGUAGGA